UACGAAGGGGGCUAGCGUUGCUCGGAAUCACUGGGCGUAAAGCGCACGUAGGCGGAUUCGUAAGUCAGGGGUGAAAUCCCGGGGCUCAACCUCGGAACUGCCUUUGAUACUGCGGGUCUUGAGUCCGAUAGAGGUGGGUGGAAUUCCUAGUGUAGGGGUGAAAUUCGUAGAUAUUAGGAAGAACACCGGUGGCGAAGGCGGCCCACUGGAUCGGUACUGACGCUGAGGUGCGAAAGCGUGGGAAGCAAACAGG
rnacentral:rRNA from 1 species